GACGAACGCUGGCGGCGUGCUUAACACAUGCAAGUCGAACGGAAAGGCCCUGCUUUUGUGGGGUGCUCGAGUGGCGAACGGGUGAGUAACACGUGAGUAACCUGCCCUUGACUUUGGGAUAACUUCAGGAAACUAGGGCUAAUACCGGAUAGGAGCUCCUGCUGCAUGGUGGGGGUUGGAAAGUUUCGGCGGUUGGGGAUGGACUCGCGGCUUAUCAGCUUGUUGGUGGGGUAGUGGCUUACCAAGGCUUUGACGGGUAGCCGGCCUGAGAGGGUGACCGGCCACAUUGGGACUGAGAUACGGCCCAGACUCCUACGGGAGGCAGCAGUGGGGAAUAUUGCACAAUGGGCGGAAGCCUGAUGCAGCAACGCCGCGUGCGGGAUGACGGCCUUUGGGUUGUAAACCGCUUUCGCCUGUGACGAAGCGUGAGUGACGGUAAUGGGUAAAGAAGCACCGGCUAACUACGUG
rnacentral:rRNA from 1 species